GUGCUCGCUUCGGCAGCACAUAUACUAAAAUUGGUGAUACAGAGAAGAUUACCAUGGCCCCUGCGUAAGGAUGACAUGCAAACCCAACCAGAUCAAAAUCAUAUAC